UUUCACUUCGAUCUGAACAAUUUUGUUGCAGAAACAAUAUCGAGAGCUUUUGAUCAGACAUGGCUGUUGCUGCUUAUGCAUCGUUGGUUUCUCUUACUCAUGUCCUCGACAAUCUCCACUAUCGCGCCCGCUUUAAUCUCCCUCGUGCCGACAUCAAACAAGUCGAAGAACUCAGGGAAAAUGUCAAUUCCUUGCUGCAAUUUGUCGAGCGUCAUUCGGCAAGGAAGAGCUCUGAGCUUCGACGUCUGUGGAGACAAAUGACUGAGGCUGCCGCUGAAGCAGAAGGUUCCAUCAACUUCCAUGUGGUCCAUCUGCUCCAUGUGAGAUCUCAAGGAGAAACGAGUGAUGCUUCCAACUUCUCAGCUUUCUGUGAAGAAAUGAAGACAUUGAUCAAAAAGUUUUGCUCCAUCGAAGACAAGCUUCCGGUGAUUGACGGAGGGGAGGAUAAUCAAGCUCAAAAGCAAUCCAAUUCUGUCGUUCCCUCUGGUGGUUCGUCUUCAGCUUCUUCGUAUGUCAGCGAUCUUGUUGUGGGACUGGACGAGCAUGUAAACGAGAUCAGGGAAAAGCUGGUCGAAGGUAGAUCUGAUUUCAAAAUUCUCCCAAUUGUUGGGAUGGGCGGUAUUGGUAAGACCACUCUGGCUAAAAUUGUCUUUCAAGAUAAGUUUAUUGUUGAGCACUUCGAUUUACGUAUUUGGCUUCCCAUAUCUCAACAAUAUAGUGCUAAACAAAUUCUUAAAGUUGGCCUUGGAGAAAAGGCGGGAGAAAACAAAAUAUUUGAAAGUUUAGAUGAGUUGGGAACUAGAUUCUACCAAAAAUUGUUCGGUAGAAGGUAUUUGAUUGUUAUGGAUGACAUGUGGUCAACGGGAGCUUGGGAUGAUUUACGGAGGUAUUUUCCCAACGCUGGAGAUGGAAGUCGUAUUUUGUUAACAACUAGACUCUCAGACAUGGCUGCUGCUUUAGGAUCUUAUGAUCCACAUCGAUUAACCUUUUUAGAUGAAAAUGAAAGUUGGAGAUUAUUUUGUCAAAGUGCUUUUUCACAAAAGGGUUGUCCAUACGGCCACUUGGAAAAGUUUGCAAAGGAUAUCACAAGAAGCUGCAGAGGCCUUCCUUUAGAAAUUGUUGUCGUUGGCCGUUUGCUAGCAAAUUCUGAUACGACUGCAAAAUAUUGGAAUAAUAUUUGGAGAAAUAUUAGUUCAUUUGUUGAUUUGGGAGACGAUGACCAUUGUAUGAACAUACUCUCUUUAAGUUAUGAGAGCUUGCCCAUUGAACUCAAAGUGUGCUUUUUAUAUAUGCGAGUUUUUCCUGAAGAUGGAAUGAUUUUUGUCUCGGAAUUAAUUGACUUAUGGAUUGCUGAAGGAUUCAUUAAACCUGUAAGUGGUAGACGUUUGGAGGAUAUCGCGAGCGAGUAUGUAAGUAGCCUUAUUGGUAGAAAUCUAAUAUUUAGCAAGGAUGAAGAUCAAUGUGGUAUUCAUGAUCUUCUACGGGAUCUUUGUUUUAGAGAGUCUAACGAAGAAUGUUUUCUCCAGUUUCCACGAGUACAAAGGGUUAACCAACUAAAAGGCAUUUUUUGCAACCAUUGUUGUAAAAAAGUCAAGGACAGUGAAGGGUUACAUGUUUUAAAACCAUCUUAUAUCUUUGGAUCGCCAUCACUAGAUAAUCCUCGUCUUUGUGAUGCUUGUAAUAAGGUGUACUCGCAUAUUACAAGACAUAGUUUGGUAAGGAUGGCAAUUUACAAAGAUCAGGAAAUUUUGCAGCCAACAGAAUUGCGACUUCUUGAUUUAGAUGUGCAAGAAUUGUUGUCUCCUUCGACAAUAUAUUUACUUUGGAAUCUUCAAAGUUUAGACAUUGAAUUAAACUCUUCUUCACCUACAAGUUUUCCGGCAGAGAUAUGGGAGAUGCCACAACUCAGAGAGAUUCGAUCUCAGAACCAAAUGCUUUUACCGAAUCCUACAGACACUGAUAUUAAUGGGGUAGAAGUUCUUAUCCUUAAUGACCUUCACACUAUACAUUUAGCAUGCAAUGUGAAGUUUACUAAGGAAAUCAUUGAUCGUAUCCCAAAUUUGAAGAACUUGAAAGUUGCGUAUCAUCACUUCGAAAAUGAGGAGGACAUGGAAGAUUUGAACUUUUGUCUAUGUAAUCUUGAGCAACUAAAAAAGCUUGAAUCACUAUCGAUACGGUUUUCCUCGGAGAGCAUGACCUUCCCUAAAUCACUAAAAGAGUUGUCCUUGACAAAUUGUAAAAUGACAUGGGAAGAUAUGUCCAUUGUUGGUUCAUUGCCUAGUCUUGAAAAACUGGAGAUAAAUGGUCAGAUACAAGGUGACGAUUGGAAGCCUGGCGUCGGCGAAUUCCCUUGCCUGAAAAAGCUGCAAAUACAUUAUACUCGUUUACGGCGUUGGGAAGUUGGUGCUGAAAACUUCCCAAAACUUGAGCACCUUCUACUCAAAGGAUUGUAUUCACUGGAGGAGAUCCCUUUAAGUGUUGGAGAUAUACCAACAUUGAAAUCAAUUGUGCUGAAUUAUUGUAGCGAAUCUGCAGCUGACUCGGCAAAGAAACUGUGGGAGGAUCAAUACGAGUUUGGUAAUGACAUUAGGAUUGAUCUUUUCAAUAUAGACAGGGUCUCGUAUACAGUUGGUACGUCUACUGCAAGUAUGACGGCGACUGGUUGUAAAUCUUUGGCUACAUUCAAACAUCUUCAGCAAAGACUCGAGGAGGUUUCUGAGCUAGGCCGUAAUUCUAUAGACGAAAAACAAUUGGAAGUUUUGAAAGAAGACAUUGAUUUCUUGCAGUACUUUGUCAAAGUUUUUCAUCCGAGUAAAAGCCAAGAAAUCGAGAAUUUGUCAAGUGAAAUAGCUCAGGCUAUCCAUAAAGCAGUGGUUGUGAUCCAGAGGCUACACUUGGAAACUCUGACACCUAUAUUCGGUAAGAUCAUCUUUGAAGAUGUCGGGAGAUUGUUGGCGAUUAUAGACUUCAUGAAAAGAGAGUUAUCGGUGGCUGAAGCGGAAGGGAAAGAAGACAAAUAUGAGAGCCUUCAAAUUGAUGUCACUGACAAUGAUGUAACAUUAUCGUAUGAUAUCAAAUCAUUGAGAAUAAUCUAUUUGGACAUGACUGUUAUUGAUGGAGAUUUGAGAGAAUAUCGAAUCAAUUCUGUGACCGCGACAAUGGCGGAGGCUGCUAGUUUACUUUGGUCUGAAUUAGCUUGCAUCGUGGAGCUGUUCCGGAAGGCUUAUGAACUCAGCCGCCGUCAUCUGAACGUAAAGAAAAUGGAAGAGGUCGAAGAAUCCAUCAGUUUCUUGCAGGAUGUUGUCGAAGUUCAUCCUGAAAGAAAAAUCCAAGAAAUCGAGAGUUUAUCAUGUAGAUUUGGCCAUGGAUUCGAUGUGCCAAGGCUUCGGGAUUUUGAACUUACUUGGCUGAGAUCUCUCGACAACAUAGCCGAUGAAGACAUCAAAUCCCUCUUGAGAGAUGUGGAAAGGAUGACAAAAAAAAUAUGCUCUAUGAAAGAUGCGUUGUUGGCACCAAAAGGGGAAGACAACUCUACAGAUGAUGAAGAAGAUGACUAUUGUUAAGGGUUCCGAGUAGCAUUCAACAUUCUCCAGUGAUCAAUGCAUUCUUGGACCACAAAUUUGGCUUUUGGUCGUGGAUGUGAAUUUGAAGGUUUCAAUAUGGUGGAGGAAGAACGUAGUGUUGAACCGAUUGGGGAGGGAGUACAAAAUGUUGAAUCACAAGCGGGGACUGAAGCAACUACAAAAACGAGCACGGGGAGGAGGAGGGGGCUGCUACGGAUUUUGGAGUGGCGGGCAAUGAUGGAGGAUUUUGGAGCUGCGAUGGGAGGGUGGGUGGUGAUGAUGGUGGAUUUCCAAGUGAUGGUGAUGAAAUGCUAGGCGUUGGUGGAGAUGAUGCUAAUGAGAAUGACAGUGUAGUAAGUAAAGAAAGGCAUCACAGUGAUUCUGAAGAUCCAUAGUGGAUGUAUGACGAUUUCGAUGGUCCUUCUGAUGAUGAUAUUUUGGCUAAGAAACCAGGAUCAUCAUUGUCUUUCAGAUUACAUGCAUUAAGAUUCUCUUACAAGGCGAGUCAACCAAGAAUAUCACCGAGAGGUGCCAUUUGUUCCCAACCAGAUUCAUGAUUGUUCUAAAGGAUUGUGAAUGUGUGGCUAGAUUGAAAUGUAUGUGAAUAGCAUGGUCUGGCUUUGUAUGUGGUGGGGGAGUUUUGCGUUUGAAUUUUUGGUCGGCAUGUUAGGGUGAUAUCGUAAGAUAUUGGCAUGUUGUUUGUGUCAUAUUGAACUAUGUUUUUUUUGUUAUUUUGAACUAUGAAUCUGGAGGUCAUUUCUAUGGAUGAUUUAGUUGCAAAUAUAUUGCAUAUUGACAGGUUUGUAUUGAUGUAAUUUCGAACUAUGGUAUUUGUGUCAUUUUUAGAUUGACUC